CCCCCCGCCCCGCCCUCGGCCCGGCCCCGCGCGCGGGGUCGCGGCGGCGCGUGGGGCUCUCCUUCCCCGGCCCGGCCUCGUCCCGGCUCGCCGGAGAGCUCCAGGAUGUGGAAGCUGGUGCCCGCCUCAGGAAAAGGAGAGCCAUAUCGGCUUUUAAGUGGUACAGAAUAUGUUGUUGGACGGAAAAACUGUGCAAUUUUAAUUCAGGAUGAUCAGUCCAUCAGUCGAAGUCAUGCAGUUCUGACAGUAAGUCGUCCUGAAACAAGCCCUAGUCAAUCUCUCUCAGUUCCUAUAUUAACAGUAAAAGAUACAUCUAAGUAUGGUACCUUUGUUAAUGGAUCAAAACUCAAUGGCACUUCAGUGUCUUUGCAAUCUGGUGACAGAAUCAACUUUGGAGUAUUUGAGAGCAAGUUUAGAGUGGAGUAUGAACCUUUGGUUGUCUGCUCCUCAUGUUUAGAUGUAGCUCAGAAAACUGCUUUAAAUCAAGCCAUUCAGCAGCUUGGAGGCCUUGUAGUGAAUGAAUGGACAAAAGAGUGUACCCACCUUGUCAUGGUAUCAGUAAAAGUUACUGUUAAGACUAUAUGUGCUUUGAUUUGUGCUCGACCAAUUAUAAAACCAGAGUUUUUUGUUGAAUCAAUCAGAGCUAUUCAGUCCAGGCAACAGUUGCCAAAUCAUGAAAGCUUUUAUCCUCCAGUUGAUGAGCCUUCCAUUGGCACUGAAAAACUGGAUUUAUCUGAGCAUCAUGAAAGGAAAACAAUAUUCAGUGGAAAAACUUUUGUAUUUCUAUCUGCUAAGCAGCACAAGAAACUGGGUCCAGCAAUUAUUCUUGGAGGAGGAGAAAUAAAGUUGAUGACAGAAGGAAGAAAAGAAACGCCUUUACUGAUUUCUCCUGAAGUUUGUGUUGUUGAUGUGGGCUUGACAAACUCUCAGAUUGCAGGAUCUGACUCUAUGAGAAACUGGACUGAUUCCAUUCUGACUGUCUUGCAAAGCAAGAAUCUCAGGGCUAUUCCAGAGGCAGAAAUUGGAUUGGCAGUUAUCUUCAUGUCUACAGAAAAAUACUGCAACCCUCAAAAGCAGGCUGGUACCAACAAAGCUGUAACUGAAAGUACUCCUGCAUCAGCUGUUGUGGGCCGAACCAUUUCUCAGAGUUUGGCUGUGGAUGAAACCAUAAUGCCAGCUGCUGCAGAUAGCAGCACAUUGUACAUAGCUGAUACAGAAGAGCAGACAUGUAUGGAGGUAGAGAAUACUCCCCAGAUGGAUAAACAACGGAAAAUGGCUUUCCAGGAUACAACCACCGUAAAGAAAAACACUAGGACAAGUGGCAGUGUAAAUGCAGGAACAGCCCCAUUUAGAGGGAACAGAACAUCUGGGUUGAGUCAAAAAAGUCAGCCUGUCUCACCAUCUAAAAUUUCAGAAGCUGGUAAACCCAGCGAGUGUGCUUCACGUCACCAGUCCAACUCAAUUACAAAUUACUUCCAGGUAGCUAGAAAGAGGGAAAGAGCUGAAGAAGAAGAGGAAACACCUGUACCCAAACUAGCAAAACUGGAGGAAAGGUCAUCGCCUCUUUCCAAGUGCACUGAACCCACAACUUCAUCGAUCUGGAACAGUGAAGCAAAACAGCAUCAGAAGAAAAAUAGCAUCCUGGACCCAAACCCAAAUUUUGCAUUAGAAGACAUGGGUAUAAAGCUUAUGAGGGAAAGUGUCAAAGUAACAAGUGAUAAAACAGACACUAAAACCACUUCGAGUGAAAGUCAUGCACCACAGAAGAGAAAAGAGUUAGAUGAUUUAUCUGAAGAUACAGAAGCGCUGGAAAUUGUGUUUGGAAGUGGAGACCUAGACUGGGAAGAUCAAGUGGCAGAUCAUGACCAGGAAGCUCAAGGAAAUACACGAAAAAAAAGAUGUUUGGAAGCCAAAGGAAACAGGAUUCAAGAAGUAAAUGUAAAUCAGAGACAGGAGAAUAAAAUAUUGAAAGAAGAGGAACUUGGAGCAGUUGUAACUUCAGAAAUGAAAUGUAAGAUCAAGCAAGAGUCACCAGUCUUGAACUGCAGCAAACUGCAAGAUGACUCCAGCAGUCUUCCUAGCAGGCUUCUGUUGACUGAGUUCAGAUCACUGAUUGUCAGCCGUCCAAGACAGAACAGUUGCCUUACUGGAAAUACCAGCUAUGGGGGGAAGAAAAAUUUCAAAACGUUCAAAAAGGUAGCUUAUCCAGGGGCAGGACAACUUCCAUACAUUAUUGGAGGAUCAGAUUUGAUUGCUCACCAUGCUAAAAGGAAUUCAGAGCUAGAAGAGUGGUUAAGGCAAGAAAUGGAGGAACAGAACCGACAGGCAAGAGAAGAAUCACUUGCUGAUGAUCUCUUUAGGCCAUAGGCACUGUACAAUUUCAGAUAAUGUUGUUUGAUGUCUUUCCCUCCGGAAAACAAAUACCAUCCAGGCUUCAUUUAACAUGGAAAAUGGCUGGAGAUAUGAUCCUAAUGUGAAAAGGAGAAGAUAAAUUGUGACCUGGAUUUACAGUGUUUCUCUAGCAAAACCUGCUUUUCUGUUCCUUAUGUUUCUUGUGUUACAGUGUGUAUGAUGUUCCUACAUAUGACCAUUUGAACUAUCUAUUAUUGUAAGACUUGUUUUUUAAGUCUUGCUUUUAUUAAAGAAAAAGAAAAAUUUC